rnacentral:rRNA from 11 species
ACGAUGGAUCCCUUGGUGCCUCCAGCUACGAUAAGCGCAGCGUGAGCGACGACAAUGGCGGCGACGGUAGGCACAACUGCAGUGGCGCUGCUCGCCAAAAACACGAA